rnacentral:rRNA from 1 species
GACGAACGCUGGCGGCGUGCCUAAUACAUGCAAGUAGAACGCUGAAGGAGGAGCUUGCUCUUCUGGAUGAGUUGCGAACGGGUGAGUAACGCGUAGGUAACCUGCCUGGUAGCGGGGGAUAACUAUUGGAAACGAUAGCUAAUACCGCAUAAGAGUAGAUGUUGCAUGACAUUUGCUUAAAAGGUGCAAUUGCAUCACUACCAGAUGGACCUGCGUUGUAUUAGCUAGUUGGUGAGGUAACGGCUCACCAAGGCAACGAUACAUAGCCGACCUGAGAGGGUGAUCGGCCACACUGGGACUGAGACACGGCCCAGACUCCUACGGGAGGCAGCAGUAGGGAAUCUUCGGCAAUGGACGGAAGUCUGACCGAGCAACGCCGCGUGAGUGAAGAAGGUUUUCGGGUUGUAAAGGACUUUUGUCAGGGAAGAAAAGGGCGGGGUUAAUACCCCUGUCUGAUGACGGUACCUGAAGAAUAAGCACCGGCUAACUACGUGCCAGCAGCCGCGGUAAUACGUAGGGUGCGAGCGUUGUCCGGAUUUAUUGGGCGUAAAGCGAGCGCAGGCGGUUAGAUAAGUCUGAAGUUAAAGGCUGUGGCUUAACCAUAGUACGCCUUGGAAACUGUUUAACUUGAGUGCAAGAGGGGAGAGUGGAAUUCCAUGUGUAGCGGUGAAAUGCGUAGAUAUAUGGAGGAACACCGGUGGCGAAAGCGGCUCUCUGGCUUGUAACUGACGCUGAGGCUCGAAAGCGUGGGGAGCAAACAGG